rnacentral:rRNA from 1 species
AGCGAACGCUGGCGGCAGGCCUAACACAUGCAAGUCGAACGAACCUUUCGGGGUUAGUGGCGGACGGGUGAGUAACACGUGGGAACGUGCCUUUAGGUUCGGAAUAACUCAGGGAAACUUGUGCUAAUACCGAAUGUGCCCUUCGGGGGAAAGAUUAAUCGCCUUUAGAGCGGCCCGCGUCUGAUUAGCUAGUUGGUUGAGGUAAUGGCUCACCAAGGCGACGAUCAGUAGCUGGUCUGAGAGGAUGAUCAGCCACAUUGGGACUGAGACACGGCCCAAACCCCCAGGGGAGGGAGGGGGGGGGAAUCUGGGGCAGGGGGCAAAAGCCUGAAGCCCCCAUGCCGGGUGAAUGAUGAAGGUCUUAGGAUUUUAAAAUUUUUUCCCCGGGGACGAAAUGGAGGGAACCGGGAAAAAAACCCCCGCCAAAUUGGGG